UCUCUACUAAACCUAAUCUACUCAGUAAUAUCCACACACGGACGCAAACCUCGACCGGCGAUGCGGACUCGCUCCUCCUCGACAUCCUCACCUCCGGCGAUGCGGACUCGCUCCUCCUCGACAUCCUCUCUUCCGGCGGCGAAGCGGGCGCGCUCCUCCUCUCCUCUGGCGGUGAAGCGGCGACGCGAGCGCGCUCCUCCUCAACAUUCUCUUCCGUCGAGAUUCCCACCCGCUCCAGCUGCCAUCCAUGGGGAUAGUGGACUGAUGCUGAUUCUGUUUUAGACGCCCUCAGGCUUUGCAAUUUUCACAUUUUGUGGGUUACUUAUUAACCGACCAAAUGCUGUGGAGGUGUACUAUAUGUUCUUCCUUCCUAGGUUACGGAUGUGCUUGCUUUCUCUUGUUGUCUAUGUCAAUUACCUAAUUUUCUGUUUUAUCCUUGUCUCUUCCAGGAAAUAUGGGUUAACUUUAGUGAUAGUCGGAAGGCAAAACGUGUUAGUGCCCACUUCUUUCGUUUGAUUCCCUGCUUCUGAUUGUUAUUUUCUUAUGUUGUUCGCCGCCAAAUUAAUCCUACUAGUUAUCUUGCACCAUUCA